UGAAAGGCUAAUCAAACCCGGAGAUAGCUGGUUCUCUUCGAAAACUAUUUAGGUAGUGCCUCGUGUAUUACCGUAGGGGGUAGAGCACUGUUUCGGCUAGGGGGUCAUCCCGACUUACCAAACCGAUGCAAACUCCGAAUACCUACGAGUAUGAGCACGGGAGACAGACUGCGGGUGCUAACGUCCGUAGUCGAGAGGGAAACAACCCAGACUGUCAGCUAAGGUCCCNAAUUAUGGUUAAGUGGGAAACAAUGUGGGAAGGCACAAACAGCUAGGAGGUUGGCUUAGAAGCAGCCAUCCUUUAAAGAAAGCGUAAUAGCUCACUAGUCGAGUCGGCCUGCGUGGAAGAUAUAACGGGGCUAAANCAUAAACCGAAGCUACAGAUCUUAAAUUUAUUUAAGAUGGUAGAAGAGCGUUCUGUAAGCGGCUGAAGGUNNGCUGNNAGGCNNNCUGGACGUAUCAGAAGUGCGAAUGUUGACAUGAGUAACGAUCAAAGAGGUGAAAAACCUCUUCGCCGAAAAACCAAGGGUUCCUGUCCAACGCUAAUCGAGGCAGGGUGAGGCGGCCCCUAAGGCGAGGGCGAAAGCCGUAGUCGAUGGGAAACAGGUUAAUAUUCCUGUGCUUUUUACAACUGCGAUGGGGUGACGGAGAAGGUUAGGCUAGCACGGCGACGGUUGUCCGUGUUUAAGGUAGUAGGCUGGUGUUUUAGGUAAAUCCGGAACACUAAGGCUGAGAGCUGAUGACGACCACUCUAUGAGUGGGAAGUNGNUGAUACCAUGCUUCCAGGAAAAACCUCUAAGCUUCANNUUGUAAGAAACCGUACCCUAAACCGACACAGGUGGUUAGGUCGAGUAGACCAAGGUGUUUGAGAGAACUAUGGUGAAGGAACUAGGCAAAAUAGCACCGUAACUUCGGGAGAAGGUGCGCCGCGNNUNGUGANGAGACUUGCUCUCUGAGCUGAACGUGGUCGAAGAUACCAGGUGGCUGCGACUGUUUAUUAAAAACAUAGCACUCUGCAAACUCGUAAGAGGACGUAUAGGGUGUGACGCCUGCCCGGUGCCGGAAGGUUAAUUGAUGGGGUUAGCUUAUGCGAAGCUCUUGAUCGAAGCCCCGGUAAACGGCGGCCGUAACUAUAACGGUCCUAAGGUAGCGAAAUUCCUUGUCGGGUAAGUUCCGACCUGCACGAAUGGCGUAACGAUGGCCACACUGUCUCCACCAUAGACUCAGUGAAAUUGAAUUCGCUGUUAAGAUGCAGUGUACCCGCAGCUAGACGGAAAGACCCCGUGCACCUUUACUACAGGUUCACACUGGACUUUGACUUUAUUUGUGUAGGAUAGGUGGGAGACUUUGAAGCCNAGACGCUAGUCUUGGUGGAGUCGUCCUUGAAAUACCACCCUUGUAAAGUUGAGGCUCUAACUUAGGUCCGUAAUCCGGAUCGAGGACAGUGUGUGCUGGGUAGUUUGACUGGGGCGGUCUCCUCCCAAAGAGUAACGGAGGAGUACGAAGGUAUCCUAAGCAUGGUCGGACAUCAUGCAGAUUGUAUAAAGGCAUAAGGAUGCUUGACUGCGAGACCGACGGGUCGAGCAGGUAGGAAACUAGGUCUUAGUGAUCCGGUGGUUCUGAAUGGAAGGGCCAUCGCUCAACGGAUAAAAGGUACGCCGGGGAUAACAGGCUGAUACCGCCCAAGAGUUCAUAUCGACGGCGGUGUUUGGCACCUCGAUGUCGGCUCAUCACAUCCUGGGGCUGGAGCAGGUCCCAAGGGUAUGGCUGUUCGCCAUUUAAAGUGGUACGCGAGCUGGGUUUAGAACGUCGUGAGACAGUUCGGUCCCUAUCUGCUGUGGGCGUUUGGAGAUUUGAGGGAAGCUGAUCCUAGUACGAGAGGACCGGAUUGGACGAACCUCUGGUGUUCCGGUUGUCACGCCAGUGGCAUUGCCGGGUAGCUAUGUUCGGAAAGGAUAACCGCUGAAAGCAUNUAAGCGGGAAGCCUCUCCCAAGAUNANAUNUCCCAGANACUUUNNGUNUCCUAAAGAGUCGUCAUAGACUAUGACGUUGAUAGGCNAGAUGUGUAAGCGUUGUGAGGCGUUGAGCUAACUNGUACUAAUAACUCGUGAGNCUUGAUCAU
rnacentral:rRNA from 1 species